rnacentral:rRNA from 1 species
GACGAACGCUGGCGGUGUGCUUAACACAUGCAAGUCGAACGGAAAGGCCCUGCUUUUGUGGGGUGCUCGAGUGGCGAACGGGUGAGUAACACGUGAGUAACCUGCCCUUGACUUUGGGAUAACUUCAGGAAACUGGGGCUAAUACCUGAUAGGAGCUCCUGCUGCAUGGUGGGGGUUGGAAAGUUUCGGCGGUUGGGGAUGGACUCGCGGCUUAUCAGCUUGUUGGUGGGGUAGUGGCUUACCAAGGCUUUGACGGGUAGCCGGCCUGAGAGGGUGACCGGCCACAUUGGGACUGAGAUACGGCCCAGACUCCUACGGGAGGCAGCAGUGGGGAAUAUUGCACAAUGGGCGGAAGCCUGAUGCAGCAACGCCGCGUGCGGGAUGAAGGCCUUCGGGUUGUAAACCGCUUUCGCCUGUGACGAAGCGUGAGUGACGGUAAUGGGUAAAGAAGCACCGGCUAACUACGUG